AUAACCGAAACAGCUCCUCUCGUAAGCACAAAAACAUGGUCAGAAAAAUGUGUCAAAACAGGGGGGUGCUUUUACGCGCAUUUGUAACGUUGCCUCUGAUUGCACAAAGAAUACAAAUACACAAAUGAAAAGACGGAUAACAAAACUAGAGACAUUUUUUUUCAUAGUUUGACAAAUGUGACGUCAAAUGUUGACUUUGUGAAGGUGAAAACUUCCGAAGUGUAAAAAACAUAUUUAUCCAAAGCGCACAUGUCUAUAAAAAAUCUCAUAGGUAGACGAAUUAUCAAGCUUCAAUCUGCACUAUGAAUUGUAUUUUUUUAACAACGUGUUCAUGUCGAAAUAAAAAUGAAAAGGACCCCACCGUCUAUACCGGAAGUACUUUUCCCUAGCGAUCAAGUGACAGACAGAGCCUGCCAGCUGAGAUCGUGUUUGUCAGCAAGCGUGGAAAUACCGCCUUUCUACGAAAUAGGACCAGGGCUGACCAGCUGAAGAGAAGAAGCCAGACUACUUAUGUUUUGCAAAGUGACAGAGAUUGGUCGCUAUUGUUUCUUCAGAUUUUAUUAUUAUCAUGCAACUUGACCUGUAUGCUGUUUUUGUGAUAUAUUUUAAACAGUUAUACCUGCCAUAUAUUGACAGUUUGUGAUAGAGUUGAAAGCGCAGGACUGGAUAGCACUCUUUCAAAGAAAAUGUUUCUUCAUCAUAUGUUGUGCAUUGAUCUGCAUUGAUCUUUGCCAAAAUGGAUUCAUAUGACCCAGGAUCAUGAAAUAACUUGCAACUGAAACUGUAUUUGUUGGAAACUAUUUGCUUAAGUAUUUAUGAUCAUAUUCAAAAGACACCUAGACAACGGCCUCUAAUAUAAAUAUCAGAUAUGUUAUAUAAUGUUAUCAAUCCAUCAUGUAUGAGAUAUUGGAUAUGAUAUAAAAAGGCUUAGCUAAGAUUCUACAUGCUCCUUGGGCCAGGUUUUUGUUUUCAACCCUGUGAUAUAUAUUUUAUGUAUUAUGUAGGAGUUUCUAGAACCUUAUUUAUUCAUUUCGUUGUGGUACAUACGCUGUCUGUAGAAAGGAGCAAGAGGUCCCUAUUUUACUUGAUUUUACUUAUUUUGACUCCAGAGACUUUAGUUAACAUGAAACUUGCCUUGUAUGCAUGUAUUGUCAUUUUCUAGUCAUUUCUGGUCAUUAAUACAUGUCACUAGUGGCCAGUUUGUAAUAUGUUUGAAACAGCAGAAUUGGGUACCAAUCUGUCAGUGACAGAUUUUGUCAUUGAAUAUAUUAUAUAUGUCACUUUUAUUGCAGACAUAGAUACACAUGAUGCCAUUUAACAAUCUACAAUGCAUGCAAAUAUUUUUCAAAAGGAUAGAAAUAUUUUUAAAAAUACCCUAGCAAAUAUAUGGUUGGAAAGAAAUGUGAUAACGUUUUUAUGGAGUGAUUGUGUUUGAAUGCUGAUAACUUUUUUAUUAUAUUUUUUUGGUGUACAAAACAAUAUGUAUUUGGGUAACUUGUCCUUUCCUCUAGCUCCACAUAAUAUUUCAGGUUAAUUGUACACGUAGAACUGUAGAUAUUCUUCGGAAUGCAUUUAGAUCUCAUGACCUUCAAAUUUCAAGGUCAAGCACAUUUUUAUAAAUAGCUGUAAAAUAUUCUUAUUCAACUUUAUUGUCACUUUUUUGGGGUAGAAAGACCUGUCUUACCAUGACAAUGACUAUGUAUACUUAUUUUGCUUAUGUUUUACUCGUUUUCAGACAUUAUUCAUGAAAGCUGUGUGAAAGUUUUAAAAAUGAUUGAUACGGUGCUACGCUUACAGGGUCUCAUUUUCAUAUUGUAUAAUGUAAAUAUAUGACUAUUACCACCAAAAUGGAUAGACAAGAUACCAAUACAGAGAUAGAAUACUUACACAUACUUUUUUGAAGUGCAGAAAUAUUUUUGAAAUGUUCCUAACCAAAAAAAAUGGCUGAAAAAAAAAAGUCAUUUUUUUUUUCUGUGGGUAGGUGUCUUGUAACUCUAAUAACUUUGUAAUAAUAAUUUUUGGUAUCAUAA